CAAAACAAGGAACAAAGAGCAAAGAAUAAGAGCAAACCCUAGAGAAGAAAAUCAAGAGAAAAUUCAUUAAAUUUCAAGGAAUUAAGCAAGUAAAGGUGGUGAAACUUCCAAUAAGGGUAAGGAGAUUGUACCCGAAGACCGGGACUAGGAGUACUUUGACUCCCGAUAUUGAUCAAGACAGUCCAUAAAUAGUUGAUUAUGUCGAGGGUUAUUAUUGGACUUGCCUCUUCAGAAAUUGCAAGUCCACAGCCUUCGUUACCUUUGGUCAUUCGAGGGCCCACACGUUAUUGUAAAUUAAAUUACAUACUCUAGUUAUCUGUGUUACUGUAUGUAUGGAUUUAUUUUG
rnacentral:sRNA from 1 species